CCUUGGUGGCCUCGGUCUCCUUGCCUGUCGGUUGGGGCAAUAAGAAUAAGGGCUGCCCCUGCCAGAGCGCAGGGGACUUCUGGGAACAGCUGCUGGAAGUGGCCCCGCCCGGCCCCCCCAGGGGGGAAGCAGGCCUUCUGCUUGUGCUGGGGCGGGCAGGGGCUGGGCCCAGGUCUGCCCUGUCUGCCUGGGUCUGCGGGGUCCAGGUGCUCCUGGCUCUACGGGGCCACUAUCCCCGCCGCGGGCACCCGAGUGGACCGGGCACAGCAGGGCCCAGAGGAGGAGGACCCAGGAUCCCGGCCAGCAGCCCAGGGAAAGUGCGCUGAGGGCCCAGAGUGGUGACAUAGACAAAGCCCCACAUCUGAGCAUCUCAUGACACACCUGGAGUCAGGAGGUGGUCCGGGAAUCUUCCAGAAAGAAAGAAGAUGAUCCCAGGCCAGAGGCUCAGCCUGCCGCAGUCUUCAUGCUCUCAAGACCAACGACCUCGGCCUCGAGGACGCCGCCAGCAGGUGCCCGCCAGGCGCCAGCAUGGAGUCCAGUCUCAGGUGCGUGGCCUGUGCAGGUGGGCGGUGGAGUGCGUGCACCAGCAGGGGAGGCACCGGCCAAGAGAGCCAGGGCUGCGCUCCGGCGGGUCCCUCCAGGACGCCAGAGAUGGUGCCACACAUGGGGGCCGGCAGGUGGCCCUGGGGAGGUCUCCAGGAAGGACUCGAAUGAACUGAGAAGAAUGAACUGGACAGUUGCAAGCAAUUUGGGACUAUUUACCGAUGAGAAGAUAGAAUAAUAACAAAAAGACAACCAUUAACUCAAGGACGUUCAA